rnacentral:rRNA from 1 species
GUGGGGAAUCUUCCGCAAUGGACGAAAGUCUGACGGAGCAACGCCGCGUGAACGAUGACGGCCUUCGGGUUGUAAAGUUCUGUUAUACGGGACGAAUGGUACGACGGUCAAUACCCGUCGUAAGUGACGGUACCGUAAGAGAAAGCCACGGCUAACUACGUGCCAGCAGCCGCGGUAAUACGUAGGUGGCAAGCGUUGUCCGGAAUUAUUGGGCGUAAAGGGCGCGCAGGCGGCGUCGUAAGUCGGUCUUAAAAGUGCGGGGCUUAACCCCGUGAGGGGACCGAAACUGCGAUGCUAGAGUAUCGGAGAGGAAAGCGGAAUUCCUAGUGUUGCGGUGAAAUGCGUAGAUAUUAGGAGGAACACCAGUGGCGAAAGCGGCUUUCUGGACGACAACUGACGCUGAGGCGCGAAAGCCAGGGGAGCAAACGGGAUUAGAAACCCUAGUAGUCC